AGCAGCCGCGGCAAUUCCAGCUCCAAUAGCGUAUAUUAAAGUUGUUGCAGUUAAAAAGCUCGUAGUUGAAUUUCGGGGUCAGCAAGUUGGUCGUGCCACCGGUAUGUACUGGCCCUACCGAUUCCUCCUUCUUGAAGAACUGUAAUGCCAUUAAUUUGGUGUUGCAGGGAAACAGGACUGUUACUUUGAAAAAAUUAGAGUGUUUAAAGCAGGCAAUCGCUUGAAUACAUUAGCAUGGAAUAAUGAAAUAGGAUAUUCGAUCCUAUUUUGUUGGUUUUUAGGAUUGACGUAAUGAUUAAUAGGGAUAGUUAGGGGCAUUAGUAUUCAAUUGUCAGAGGUGAAAUUCUUGGAUUUAUUGAAGACUAACUACUGCGAAAGCAUUUGCCAAGGAUGUUUUCAUUAAUCAAGAACGAAAGUUAGGGGAUCGAAGACGAUCAGAUACCGUCGUAGUCUUAACCAUAAACUAUGCCGACUAGGGAUCGGAUGAUGUUAAUUUUUUAAUGACUCA
rnacentral:rRNA from 1 species